GUACUCUGAAAUUGUGUUUAUCUUGCAAAGCCAAAGUCUUUGUAAUUUGUAAACAAUGUGUUACAGUACGGCGACAGCCUGUAUAACAACCACAAGCCAUUCCCCAAAGAUAAGGUUGUAAACAACGUGUUACAGUACGGCGACAGCCUGUAUAACAACCACAAGCCAUUCCCCAAAGAUAAGGUUAAGACCAAGUUCUUAUCGCCGAGCUUCCAGAUCUAAUCUCUCUCUGUUUCUUUGUAGUUCUCAAAUUUAUUCAUAAAACUUUGUGUUUCCACAACUAC
rnacentral:misc_RNA from 1 species